rnacentral:rRNA from 1 species
UACGUAGGGUGCGAGCGUUAAUCGGAAUUACUGGGCGUAAAGCGUGCGCAGGCGGCUUUGCAAGACAGAUGUAAAAUCCCCGGGCUCAACCUGGGAACUGCAUUUGUGACUGCAAGGCUAGAGUACGGCAGAGGGGGAUGGAAUUCCGCGUGUAGCAGUGAAAUGCGUAGAUAUGCGGAGGAACACCAAUGGCGAAGGCAAUCCCCUGGGCCUGUACUGACGCUCAUGCACGAAAGCGUGGGGAGCAAACAGG